GACGAACGCUGGCGGCGUGCUUAACACAUGCAAGUCGAACGAAGUGGCGAACGGGUGAGUAAUACGUGGGUAACCUGCCCUCCUGUUUGGGAUAAGCCUUGGAAACGGGGUCUAAUACCGAAUAAAGGGGGAUGGGCUCGCGGCCUAUCAGCUUGUUGGUGGGGUGAUGGCCGACCAAGGCGGUGACGGGUAGCCGGCCUGAGAGGGUGACCGGCCACAUUGGGACUGUGGUAUGGCCCAGACUCCUACGGGAGGCAGCAGUGGGGGAUAUUGCACAAUGGGCGAAAGCCUGAUGCAGCGACGCCGCGCGGUAAUUC
rnacentral:rRNA from 1 species